rnacentral:rRNA from 1 species
GCAGUGCGGGGUCUAUACAUGCAAGUUGAGCGCUGAAGGUUGGUACUUGUACCAACUGGAUGAGCAGCGAACGGGUGAGUAACGCGUGGGGAAUCUGCCUUUGAGCGGGGGACAACAUUUGGAAACGAAUGCUAAUACCGCAUAAAAACUUUAAACACAAGUUUUAAGUUUGAAAGAUGCAAUUGCACUCUACCUCCAAAGAGAGUGAUCUUUCCGACGUUGUAUUAGGCUAGUUGGUGAGGUAAAGGCUCACCAAGGCGAUGUAUACAUAGCCGACCUGAGAGGGUGAAUCGGCCACAUUGGGACUGAGACACGGCCCAAACUCCUACGGGAGGCAGCAGUAGGGAAUCUUCGGCAAUGGACGAAAGUCUGACCGAGCAACGCCGCGUGAGUGAAGAAGGUUUUCGGAUCGUAAAACUCUGUUGGUAGAGAAGAACGUUGGUGAGAGUGGAAAGCUCAUCAAGUGACGGUAACUACCCAGAAAGGGACGGCUAACUACGUGCCAGCAGCCGCGGUAAUACGUAGGUCCCGAGCGUUGUCCGGGAUUUAUUGGGCGUAAAGCGAGCGCAGGUGGUUUAUUAAGUCUGGUGUAAAAGGCAGUGGCUCAACCAUUGUAUGCAUUGGAAACUGGUAGACUUGAGUGCAGGAGAGGAGAGUGGAAUUCCAUGUGUAGCGGUGAAAUGCGUAGAUAUAUGGAGGAACACCGGUGGCGAAAGCGGCUCUCUGGCCUGUAACUGACACUGAGGCUCGAAAGCGUGGGGAGCAAACAGGAUUAGAUACCCUGGUAGUCCACGCCGUAAACGAUGAGUGCUAGAUGUAGGGAGCUAUAAGUUCUCUGUAUCGCAGCUAACGCAAUAAGCACUCCGCCUGGGGAGUACGACCGCAAGGUUGAAACUCAAAGGAAUUGACGGGGGCCCGCACAAGCGGUGGAGCAUGUGGUUUAAUUCGAAGCAACGCGAAGAACCUUACCAGGUCUUGACAUACUCGUGCUAUUCCUAGAGAUAGGAAGUUCCUUCGGGACACGGGAUACAGGUGGUGCAUGGUUGUCGUCAGCUCGUGUCGUGAGAUGUUGGGUUAAGUCCCGCAACGAGCGCAACCCCUAUUGUUAGUUGCCAUCAUUAAGUUGGGCACUCUAACGAGACUGCCGGUGAUAAACCGGAGAAAGGUGGGGAUGACGUCAAAUCAUCAUGCCCCUUAUGACCUGGGCUAACACACGUGCUAACAAUGGAUGGUACAACGAGUCGCGAGAACAGUGAUGUUUAGCUAAUCCUCUUAACAACACAUCUCUCUCANGUUCCGGAAUUGUUUAGGCUGCAACUCGCCUACAUGAAGUCGGAAUCGCUAGUAAUCGCGGAUCAGCACGCCGCGGUGAAUACGUUCCCGGGCCUUGUACACACCGCCCGUCACACCACGGGAGUUGGGAGUACCCGAAGUAGGUUGCCUAACCGCAAGGAGGGCGCUCCUAAGUAGACCCGAGG